GACGUAGGGCGCGAGCGUUGUCCGGAUUUAUUGGGCGUAAAGAGCUCGUAGGCGGCUUGUCGCGUCGACCGUGAAAACUUGGGGCUCAACCCCAAGCCUGCGGUCGAUACGGGCAGGCUAGAGUUCGGUAGGGGAGACUGGAAUUCCUGGUGUAGCGGUGAAAUGCGUAGAUAUCGUUUGGAACGCCAAUGGUGAAAACAGCUCGCUGGGGGUGUGCUGACGCUGAGACACGAAAGCCAGGGGAGCGAACGGG
rnacentral:rRNA from 1 species